GCAAGUCGAACGGUAAGGUCCCGCUUGCGGGAUACACGAGUGGCGCACGGGUGCGUAACGCGUAUGCAACCUACCUUUAACUGGAGAAUAGCCCCGAGAAAUCGGGAUUAAUACUCCAUAACAUCCAUUUAUCACCUGGUUUAUGGAUUAAAGCUCCGGCGGUUAAAGAUGGGCAUGCGUGACAUUAGUUUGUUGGUGAGGUAACGGCUCACCAAGACUACGAUGUCUAGGGGUCCUGAGAGGGUUAUC
rnacentral:rRNA from 1 species